rnacentral:rRNA from 1 species
UACGUAGGGUCCGAGCGUUGUCCGGAAUUACUGGGCGUAAAGAGCUCGUAGGUGGUUUGUCGCGUUGUUCGUGAAAACUCACAGCUCAACUGUGGGCGUGCGGGCGAUACGGGGCAGACUAGAGUACUGCAGGGGAGACUGGAAUUCCUGGUGUAGCGGUGGAAUGCGCAGAUAUCAGGAGGAACACCGGUGGCGAAGGCGGGUCUCUGGGCAGUAACUGACGCUGGAGGAGCGAAAGCCGUGGGGAGCGAACAGG